rnacentral:rRNA from 1 species
UACGUAGGGUGCGAGCGUUAAUCGGAAUUACUGGGCGUAAAGCGUGCGUAGGCGGUUCGUUAUGUCUGCUGUGAAAGCCCCGGGCUUAACCUGGGAAUGGCAGUGGAAACUGGCGGGCUUGAGUGUAGCAGAGGGGGGUGGAAUUCCGCGUGUAGCAGUGAAAUGCGUAGAGAUGCGGAGGAACACCGAUGGCGAAGGCAGCCCCCUGGGCUGACACUGACGCUGAGGCACGAAAGCGUGGGGAGCAAACAGG